rnacentral:tRNA from 1 species
UGCGAGGUAGCUCAAAAUCGCGGCAUAUCAAAACCGCGGCGGAGGCAUCCGUGGGGAGAGCAAAGCCUGGCAAGGCGAAAGAUGCCGGUUCGAUUCCGGCCCUCGCAC